UACGUAGGGGGCAAGCGUUGUCCGGAUUUAUUGGGCGUAAAGAGCGUGUAGGCGGCCAGGUAGGUCCGUUGUGAAAACUGGAGGCUUAACCUCCAGCUGUCGAUGGAAACCAUCUGGCUAGAGUCCGGAAGAGGAGAGUGGAAAUCCUGGUGUAGCGGUGAAAUGCGCAGAUAUCAGGAAGAACACCCGUGGCGAAGGCGGCUCUCUGGGACGGUACUGACGCUGAGACGCGAAAGCGUGGGGAGCGAACAGG
rnacentral:rRNA from 1 species